rnacentral:lncRNA from 1 species
AGUCAACCACCUUAAACCAGCCUAGCUAGAAAACUUCCUAAAAUCCACUGGUAUCUCAUCAGGCCCCGUCGCCCUACCCCUUCGCAUCCUGCGAACAACCUCUCUAACCUCCUCUACCUUAAAACGUCUACAAUAACUAAAAUCCCGAUACUCCUCUGAGUGCUCCAUCUCCCCUAACAUAAUAGCUCUAUCCCCUUCGUCAUUCAAGAGCCUAGGAAAAUACGACUGCCAUCUAUUCUUAAUGUGGCUGUCCUCCACCAACACUGUACCAUCCUCCCCCUUAAUGCACUUCACCUGGUCGAGGUCACGACCCUUCCUCUCCCUAGCCUUAGCGAGUCUAAACAACUUUUUUUCCC